UGGGUAACCUGCCUCAAAGAGGGGAAUAGCCUCCCGAAAGGGAGAUUAAUACCGCAUAAUAUGUUUAGGUCACAUGGCCUCAACAUCAAAGGAUUCUCUUCGGAGAUUCCACUUUGAGAUGGACCCGCGGCGCAUUAGCUAGUUGGUGAGGUAACGGCUCACCAAGGCGACGAUGCGUAGCCGACCUGAGUAGGGUGAUCGGCCACAUUGGAACUGAGACACGGUCCAGACUCCG
rnacentral:rRNA from 1 species